GCCUGGGUGGCUCAGUUGGUUAAGCAUCUGACUUCGGCUCAGGUCGUGAUCUUGCAGUUUGUGGGUUCAAGCCCCGCGUUGGGCU
rnacentral:tRNA from 1 species